rnacentral:sRNA from 1 species
UGUGUGCCAUGGUACAUUCAUAUUUUCC